rnacentral:rRNA from 1 species
UACGUAGGGUGCGAGCGUUGUCCGGAAUUACUGGGCGUAAAGAGCUCGUAGGCGGUUUGUCGCGUCGUCUGUGAAAUUCUGCAACUCAAUUGCAGGCGUGCAGGCGCUACGGGCAGACUUGAGUACUACAGGGGAGACUGGAAUUCCUGGUGUAGCGGUGAAAUGCGCAGAUAUCAGGAGGAACACCGGUGGCGAAGGCGGGUCUCUGGGUAGUAACUGACGCUGAGGAGCGAAAGCGUGGGUAGCGAACAGG